UUUAGGUAGCGCCUCGUGAAUUCAUCUCCGGGGGUAGAGCACUGUUUCGGCUAGGGGGCCAUCCCGGCUUACCAACCCGAUGCAAACUGCGAAUACCGGAGAAUGUUAUCACGGGAGACACACGGCGGGUGCUAACGUCCGUCGUGAAGAGGGAAACAACCCAGACCGCCAGCUAAGGUCCCAAAGUCAUGGUUAAGUGGGAAACGAUGUGGGAAGGCCCAGACAGCCAGGAUGUUGGCUUAGAAGCAGCCAUCAUUUAAAGAAAGCGUAAUAGCUCACUGGUCGAGUCGGCCUGCGCGGAAGAUGUAACGGGGCUAAACCAUGCACCGAAGCUGCGGCAGCGACGCUGAUGCGUUGUUGGGUAGGGGAGCGUUCUGUAAGCCUGCGAAGGUGGCCUGUGAGGGUUGCUGGAGGUAUCAGAAGUGCGAAUGCUGACAUAAGUAACGAUAAAGCGGGUGAAAAGCCCGCUCGCCGGAAGACCAAGGGUUCCUGUCCAACGUUAAUCGGGGCAGGGUGAGUCGACCCCUAAGGCGAGGCCGAAAGGCGUAGUCGAUGGGAAACGGGUUAAUAUUCCCGUACUUGGUGUUACUGCGAAGGGGGGACGGAGAAGGCUAUGUUGGCCGGGCGACGGUUGUCCCGGUUUAAGCGUGUAGGUGUGUGUUCCAGGUAAAUCCGGUUCACUUUAACACUGAGGCGUGAUGACGAGGCACUACGGUGCUGAAGCAACAAAUGCCCUGCUUCCAGGAAAAGCCUCUAAGCAUCAGGUAACAUCAAAUCGUACCCCAAACCGACACAGGUGGUCAGGUAGAGAAUACCAAGGCGCUUGAGAGAACUCGGGUGAAGGAACUAGGCAAAAUGGUGCCGUAACUUCGGGAGAAGGCACGCUGACACGUAGGUGAAGUGAUUUACUCAUGGAGCUGAAGUCAGUCGAAGAUACCAGCUGGCUGCAACUGUUUAUUAAAAACACAGCACUGUGCAAACACGAAAGUGGACGUAUACGGUGUGACGCCUGCCCGGUGCCGGAAGGUUAAUUGAUGGGGUCAGCGCAAGCGAAGCUCCUGAUCGAAGCCCCGGUAAACGGCGGCCGUAACUAUAACGGUCCUAAGGUAGCGAAAUUCCUUGUCGGGUAAGUUCCGACCUGCACGAAUGGCGUAAUGAUGGCCAGGCUGUCUCCACCCGAGACUCAGUGAAAUUGAACUCGCUGUGAAGAUGCAGUGUACCCGCGGCAAGACGGAAAGACCCCGUGAACCUUUACUAUAGCUUGACACUGAACAUUGAGCCUUGAUGUGUAGGAUAGGUGGGAGGCUUUGAAGUGUGGACGCCAGUCUGCAUGGAGCCGACCUUGAAAUACCACCCUUUAAUGUUUGAUGUUCUAACGUGGACCCGUUACCCGGGUUGCGGACAGUGUCUGGUGGGUAGUUUGACUGGGGCGGUCUCCUCCUAAAGAGUAACGGAGGAGCACGAAGGUUGGCUAAUCCUGGUCGGACAUCAGGAGGUUAGUGCAAUGGCAUAAGCCAGCUUGACUGCGAGCGUGACGGCGCGAGCAGGUGCGAAAGCAGGUCAUAGUGAUCCGGUGGUUCUGAAUGGAAGGGCCAUCGCUCAACGGAUAAAAGGUACUCCGGGGAUAACAGGCUGAUACCGCCCAAGAGUUCAUAUCGACGGCGGUGUUUGGCACCUCGAUGUCGGCUCAUCACAUCCUGGGGCUGAAGUAGGUCCCAAGGGUAUGGCUGUUCGCCAUUUAAAGUGGUACGCGAGCUGGGUUUAGAACGUCGUGAGACAGUUCGGUCCCUAUCUGCCGUGGGCGCUGGAGAACUGAGGGGGGCUGCUCCUAGUACGAGAGGACCGGAGUGGACGCAUCACUGGUGUUCGGGUUGUCAUGCCAAUGGCACUGCCCGGUAGCUAAAUGCGGAAGAGAUAAGUGCUGAAAGCAUCUAAGCACGAAACUUGCCCCGA
rnacentral:rRNA from 1 species